CCUGGCUCAGGAUGAACGCUAGCGGCAGGCUUAAUACAUGCAAGUCGUGGGGCAGCAUGAGUAGCAAUACUUGAUGGCGACCGGCAAACGGGUGAGGAACACGUACACAACUUUCCUUCAAGCGGGGAAUAGCCCAGAGAAAUUUGUAUUAAUACCCCAUAAUAUAUUUGAUAAGGCAUCUUAUUAAUAUUAAAGCUUCGGCACUUGAUGAUGGGUGUGCGGCUGAUUAGAUAGUUGGCGGGGUAACGGCCCACCAAGUCUACGAUCAGUAGCUGAUGUGAGAGCAUGAUCAGCCACACGGGCACUGAGACACGGGCCCGACUCCUACGGGAGGCAGCAGUAAGGAAUAUUGGACAAUGGACGAAAGUCUGAUCCAGCCAUGCCGCGUGAAGGAUUAAGGUCCUCUGGAUUGUAAACUUCUUUUAUAUGGGACGAAAAAAGGGCAUUCUUGUUCACUUGACGGUACCAUAUGAAUAAGCACCGGCUAACUCCGUG
rnacentral:rRNA from 1 species